AUAAGUUGGACCCGAUUGCAUUCAAGUCCUUAUCCUUGACCUCAUUCAAGAGAAAAUUUAAAGGGCCGAUGGAAUACACAGGUGGCAAAAUGGUUGAGAAAGCUUCCAAGAUAUCGUGCUCUAAGGCAUCAAAUGUGUUCAAAAUUAUUGCAGAAGCUUUCUGAGCUCUUAUGCACUCGCCACGUGCGAAAUUAAGCAUGAUAUCAUCUGGAUCUGUGGUUCUAAUGAAGGUAGGGAUAUCCUUCAGUCGAAUUUCCUUGAUG
rnacentral:misc_RNA from 1 species